ensembl:ncRNA F08F1.12 ncRNA
CUUAAUGUGUUUCCACUCAGAAAUUUUGAAUUAUGAUAUUAAAUGGAUUAUGAUAUUAAAAAGAUGAAUUAUGAUAUUAAAUGGACUACUAUUAGCAUUU